GUGCUCAUUCUGGCAGCACUUAUACUAAACCUGGAACAAUACAGAGAUUAGCAUGCCCCCCAUGGAAGGAUGACACACAAAUUUUCCAUAUUUUU
ensembl:snRNA U6 U6 spliceosomal RNA